UAGAUUAUAGCUUAAUUUAAAGUUUUUCAUUUACAUUGAAAAGAUAUUAUUUAAUAAUUAAUUUAA
rnacentral:tRNA from 1 species